UACGGGGGGAGCAAGCGUUGUUCGGAUUUACUGGGCGUAAAGGGCGCGUAGGCGGCCACCGCAAGUCGACUGUGAAAUCUCCGGGCUUAACCCGGAAAGGUCAGCCGAUACUGCGGGGCUAGAGUGCAGAAGGGGCAACUGGAAUUCUCGGUGUAGCGGUGAAAUGCGUAGAUAUCAAGAGGAACACCUGAGGUGAAGACGGGUUGCUGGGCCAACACUGACGCUGAGGCGCGAAAGCCAGGGGAGCAAACGGG
rnacentral:rRNA from 1 species